rnacentral:rRNA from 1 species
AAUCAAGCGUUUAAGGGCGUGUAGUGGAUGCCUUGGCACUGAAAGCCGAUGAAGGACGUGAUAUACUGCGAUAAGUUUCGGGGAGCUGUAUGUAAGCUUUGAUCCGAAAAUUUCCGAAUGGGGAAACCCACCACUUUAUGUGGUACUUUAAACUGAAUACAUAGGUUUAAAGAGACAACCUGGAGAACUGAAACAUCUAAGUAACCAGAGGAAAAGAAAUCAAUUGAGAUUCCGUUAGUAGUGGCGAGCGAACGCGGAGUAGGCCAGUAGUUUUGUUAGAAAAAUUUGAAUAGUUUGGAAAUGCUAACCAUAGAGGGUGAUAGUCCCGUAUGAGUAAUGUCUAACAAAAUUCUUGAGUAAAGCGGGACACGAGAAAUCCUGCUCGAAUAUAGGGGGACCACCCUCUAAGCCUAAAUACUCUUCAGUGACCGAUAGUGAACUAGUACCGUGAGGGAAAGGUGAAAAGAACCCCUAUUAGGGGAGUGAAAUAGAACCUGAAACUGCAUGCCUACAAUCAGUCCGAGCCCUUUUUAGGGUGAGGGCGUACCUUUUGUAUAAUGGGUCAGUGACUUAAUUUAUUAAGCAAGCUUAAGCCAUCUAGGUGUAGGCGCAGCGAAAGCAAGUCUUAAUAGGGCGAUUAGUUUAAUGAAUUAGACCCGAAAACGAAUGAGCUUACCAUGAGCAGGUUGAAAGUUGGGUAACACCAACCGGAGGACCGAACCAGUUGACGUUGAAAAGUCUUUGGAUGACUUGUGGUAAGGGGUGAAAGGCCAACCAAAUUCGUAGAUAGCUGGUUUUCCGCGAAAACUAUUUAGGUAGUGCGUCGAAUAAAUAGAUGUUUAGAGGUAGAGCACUAAAUGGGCUAGGGGGAAGAGAUUCUUACCAAACCUAAUAAAACUCCGAAUGCUAGACAUUGUUCUUCGGCAGACAGACUGUGGGUGCUAAGGUCCAUGGUCGAGAGGGAAAGAGCCCAGACCACCAGAUAAGGUCCCAAAAUCAUGAUUAAGUGUGAAAGGAUGUGGAAAUUCCUUAACAGCCGGGAGGUUGGCUUAGAAGCAGCCAUCCUUUAAAGAUAGCGUAACAGCUCACCGGUCUAAUAGAGUUUCUGCGCCGAAGAUGUAACGGGGCUAAAAUCAUGUACCGAAUCUGUGGCUUUGCAAAGUUUUCGAACUUUGUAAGGGGUAGCGGAACGUUCUGUAAGCCUGCGAAGGGAUACCCGUGAGGGAUCCUGGAGGUAUCAGAAGUGCGAAUGCUGACAUAAGUAACGAUAAACGAAGUGAAAAACUUCGUCGCCGAAAAUCUAAGGGUUUCUAUGCAAGGUUAAUCCGCGUAGAGUUAGUCGGCACCUAAGGCGAGGGCGAAAGCCGUAGUCGAUGGAAACAAGGUUAAUAUUCCUUGACCUGAUGGUAGUGACGGAUUUCGUAAGUUGUGAGUUCUUAAUGGAUUGAACUUGCCGCGAAGAGGUCCCAAGAAAUAGCUCCAUCAUGAAGACCGUACCCGAAACCGACACAGGUAGAUUAAUAGAGUAUAUUUAGGCGCUUGAGAGAAUGAUGUUGAAGGAACUCGGCAAAAUGCUUCCGUAACUUCGGGAUAAGGAAGACCCUUUUGUAGGCAACUAUAGAAGGGUGGCACAAGCCAGGGAGAAGCGACUGUUUAUCAAAAACACAGGGCUCUGCUAACACGUAAGUGGAUGUAUAGGGUCUGACGCCUGCCCGGUGCUGGAAGGUUAAUGCGGUUGGUGCAAGCUAACUUCUGAAGCCCCAGUAAACGGCGGCCGUAACUAUAACGGUCCUA